rnacentral:rRNA from 1 species
UACGUAGGGUGCAAGCGUUGUCCGGAAUUAUUGGGCGUAAAGAGCUCGUAGGCGGUCUGUCGCGUCGGCUGUGAAAACCCGGGGCUCAACCCCGGGCCUGCAGUCGAUACGGGCAGACUAGAGUGCGGUAGGGGAGACUGGAAUUCCUGGUGUAGCGGUGAAAUGCGCAGAUAUCGGGAGGAACACCAGUGGCGAAGGCGGCGAUCUGGGAAGAUACUGACGCUGAGGUGCGAAAGCGUGGGGAGCAAACAGG